AGCGUACACGGUGGAUGCCCUGGCAGUCAGAGGCGAUGAAGGACGUGCUAAUCUGCGAAAAGCGCCGGCGAGGUGAUAUGAACCCUUGACCCGGCGAUGUCCGAAUGGGGAAACCCAGUGCAAUCCGUUGCACUAUCGUUAACUGAAUACAUAGGUUAACGAGGCGAACCGGGGGAACUGAAACAUCUAAGUACCCCGAGGAAAAGAAAUCAACCGAGAUUCCCCCAGUAGCGGCGAGCGAACGGGGAGCAGCCCGGAGUCUGAAUCAGCUUGUGUGUUAGUGGAACGGUCUGGAAAGUCCGACGGUACAGGGUGAUAGUCCCGUACACGAAAGCACACAUGCUGUGAACUCGAAGAGUAGGGCGGGACACGUGGUAUCCUGUCUGAAUAUGGGGGGACCAUCCUCCAAGGCUAAAUACUCCUGACUGACCGAUAGUGAACCAGUACCGUGAGGGAAAGGCGAAAAGAACCCCGGCGAGGGGAGUGAAAAAGAACCUGAAACCGUGUACGUACAAGCAGUGGGAGCCUCUUUAUGGGGUGACUGCGUACCUUUUGUAUAAUGGGUCAGCGACUUAUAUUCUGUAGCAAGGUUAACCGUAUAGGGGAGCCGAAGGGAAACCGAGUCUUAACUGGGCGUUAAGUUGCAGGGUAUAGACCCGAAACCCGGUGAUCUAGCCAUGGGCAGGUUGAAGGUUGGGUAACACUAACUGGAGGACCGAACCGACUAAUGUUGAAAAAUUAGCGGAUGACCUGUGGCUGGGGGUGAAAGGCCAAUCAAACCGGGAGAUAGCUGGUUCUCCCCGAAAGCUAUUUAGGUAGCGCCUCGUGAACUCAUCUUCGGGGGUAGAGCACUGUUUCGGCUAGGGGGCCAUCCCGGCUUACCAACCCGAUGCAAACUACGAAUACCGAAGAAUGUUAUCACGGGAGACACACGGCGGGUGCUAACGUCCGUCGUGAAGAGGGAAACAACCCAGACCGCCAGCUAAGGUCCCAAAGUCAUGGUUAAGUGGGAAACGAUGUGGGAAGGCACAGACAGCCAGGAUGUUGGCUUAGAAGCAGCCAUCAUUUAAAGAAAGCGUAAUAGCUCACUGGUCGAGUCGGCCUGCGCGGAAGAUGUAACGGGGCUAAACCAUGCACCGAAGCUGCGGCAGCGACACUAUGUGUUGUUGGGUAGGGGAGCGUUCUGUAAGCCGUUGAAGGUGUGCUGUGAGGCAUGCUGGAGGUAUCAGAAGUGCGAAUGCUGACAUAAGUAACGAUAAAGCGGGUGAAAAGCCCGCUCGCCGGAAGACCAAGGGUUCCUGUCCAACGUUAAUCGGGGCAGGGUGAGUCGACCCCUAAGGCGAGGCCGAAAGGCGUAGUCGAUGGGAAACAGGUUAAUAUUCCUGUACUUGGUGUUACUGCGAAGGGGGGACGGAGAAGGCUAUGUCAGCCGGGCGACGGUUGUCCCGGUUUAAGCAUGUAGGCGGAGGUUCCAGGUAAAUCCGGUACCUUUUAACGCUGAGGUGUGAUGACGAGGCACUACGGUGCUGAAGUGAUAAAUGCCCUGCUUCCAGGAAAAGCCUCUAAGCAUCAGGUAACAUCAAAUCGUACCCCAAACCGACACAGGUGGUCAGGUAGAGAAUACCAAGGCGCUUGAGAGAACUCGGGUGAAGGAACUAGGCAAAAUGGUGCCGUAACUUCGGGAGAAGGCACGCUGAUGUGUAGGUGAAGCCCCUGCGGGCGGAGCUGAAAUCAGUCGAAGAUACCAGCUGGCUGCAACUGUUUAUUAAAAACACAGCACUGUGCAAACACGAAAGUGGACGUAUACGGUGUGACGCCUGCCCGGUGCCGGAAGGUUAAUUGAUGGGGUUAGCGGCAACGCGAAGCUCUUGAUCGAAGCCCCGGUAAACGGCGGCCGUAACUAUAACGGUCCUAAGGUAGCGAAAUUCCUUGUCGGGUAAGUUCCGACCUGCACGAAUGGCGUAAUGAUGGCCAGGCUGUCUCCACCCGAGACUCAGUGAAAUUGAACUCGCUGUGAAGAUGCAGUGUACCCGCGGCAAGACGGAAAGACCCCGUGAACCUUUACUAUAGCUUGACACUGAACACUGGUCCUUGAUGUGUAGGAUAGGUGGGAGGCUUUGAAGCGUGGACGCCAGUCUGCGUGGAGCCGACCUUGAAAUACCACCCUUUAAUGGCUGGUGUUCUAACGUAGACCCGUAAUCCGGGUUGCGGACAGUGUCUGGUGGGUAGUUUGACUGGGGCGGUCUCCUCCCAAAGAGUAACGGAGGAGCACGAAGGUUGGCUAAUCCUGGUCGGACAUCAGGAGGUUAGUGCAAUGGCAUAAGCCAGCUUGACUGCGAGCGUGACGGCGCGAGCAGGUGCGAAAGCAGGUCAUAGUGAUCCGGUGGUUCUGAAUGGAAGGGCCAUCGCUCAACGGAUAAAAGGUACUCCGGGGAUAACAGGCUGAUACCGCCCAAGAGUUCAUAUCGACGGCGGUGUUUGGCACCUCGAUGUCGGCUCAUCACAUCCUGGGGCUGAAGUAGGUCCCAAGGGUAUGGCUGUUCGCCAUUUAAAGUGGUACGCGAGCUGGGUUUAGAACGUCGUGAGACAGUUCGGUCCCUAUCUGCCGUGGGCGCUGGAGAAUUGAGGGGGGCUGCUCCUAGUACGAGAGGACCGGAGUGGACGCAUCACUGGUGUUCGGGUUGUCAUGCCAAUGGCACUGCCCGGUAGCUAAAUGCGGAAGAGAUAAGUGCUGAAAGCAUCUAAGCACGAAACUUGCCCCGAGAUGAGUUCU
rnacentral:rRNA from 1 species